rnacentral:rRNA from 1 species
GACGUAGGGCGCGAGCGUUGUCCGGAUUUAUUGGGCGUAAAGAGCUCGUAGGCGGCUUGUUGCGUCAGCUGUGAAAACCCGCAGCUCAACUGUGGGCUUGCAGCUGAUACGGGCGGGCUUGAGUUCGGUAGGGGAGACUGGAAUUCCUGGUGUAGCGGUGAAAUGCGCAGAUAUCAGGAGGAACACCGAUGGCGAAGGCAGGUCUCUGGGCCACUACUGACGCUGAGAAGCGAAAGCAUGGGGAGCGAACAGG